GACCCAGUGGUGGAUGGAUCAUACCUGCUUUCCUUUACCAGUGACUAUUGCGUACAAUGGCAGGAGCCCCCGGUUCGAUUCCGGGCUGGGUCA